rnacentral:lncRNA from 1 species
GCUAAAUGUCCCCACUCGUGGCUGGAAUUCACUCCAGUCACCGGAGCUGCUGUAGCUGGGAUUUCAUGGGAGUCCUCGAGGACUUUAACCCUUCCCUCUCCAAGCAGAGAUGGUGGAUCCCUAAAUCCUGCCCAGUCCUGGGCUCCGGGCUGAAUUCCAGAGCCAUGGAGCAAAUCCUGAGUGCCUUCUCCAGCUCGGGGACCAUCAGGAGCUCCUCACCUGCCCUCAGCCCCUCCAAGCUCAGAAUUCCUUGGACUCUGC